AGCUUUGCGCAGUGGCAGUAUCAUAGCCAAUGAGGUUUAUCUGAGGCGCGAUUAUUUCUAAUUGAAUGUUCCUGAGCUGACUGGUAGCUGAUUGCUCCUGGGUUGCUUCAGGAUGGGGACUGGUCACCAG
rnacentral:snRNA from 1 species